UACGUAGGUGGCAAGCGAUACUCGGAAUCACUAGGCGUAAAGCGCAGGUAGGCGGUUUGGUAAGUCUCUUGUGAAAGCUCCCGGCUUAACUGGGAGAGGUCAAGGGAAACUACCGGACUUGAGUGUGGUAGGGGAUACUGGAAUUCCUGGUGUAGCGGUGAAAUGCGCAGAUAUCAGGAGGAACACCGGUGGCGAAGGCGGGUCUCUGGGGCCGAUACUGACGCUGAGGAGCGAAAGCGUGGGGAGCGAACAGG
rnacentral:rRNA from 1 species